GUCAAGAUGUCCACUGUGUUACCAAUGAAGAAGGCAACCACUCUAGACUGGAGGGCUUGACAGUUUAUUUGAAAAAGUAAAAGUGAAGAGUGGGAGAAACUGGCUCUGCAGAGUGAGCUUAGGCCAACUAAAAGAGGAAGAAGCAAGACAGAAGUACACCCUGGAAGACACAAGGACAACUUUCCUUGGAGAACUUUCAAGAGAGUUCUGCUACGAAGUGGCAAAGUCGAAGAUUCCGGUCUCUGGGGCCAAGGCAAAGGGCAUCCUCUACACGUAGUCAUCCAGAGGUGCCCCCUUUCAGAGACUCCAUUCUUGCUUUUUCUCGGGUGGAACCUUCAGGAGGUCGUCCUGCAGCUUCAGGAUGGGCAGCAGAUUGCAGUGUUCAUGCACAGCAAGGAGAAGAAAUGAGCAGAAGGCUGUGCCCGCCCUCCCAGCCAUCGUGAACCGGUUCUCGGUGGCUGCUGGCCUGAGGUGGUUCCCGUGUCCUGCUGACAUGACUACCACAGAUGCUGCUGUGCUUCUUUUAAUUCAGAGAGAAAUUUACAGUAAAGGUUUAUAUUUAUUUAAAAGUGCUCCUUACAAAAAAAGCAAAGCACAAGGUAAAAUAGCCCCG
rnacentral:lncRNA from 1 species